GCAUUUUUAGCUCAGUGGAUAGAGCAUCGGUCUUCUAAAUCGUUGGUCGUAGGUUCGACUCCUAUAAAAUGUA
rnacentral:tRNA from 1 species